UUCAGUAUCUGAACACUUUUGCUAAAGGUCUCUGGAAAGCUCCCUGUGUUAAUUCUCGAUGAGACUACGUCUGUGCCGGCCGCUUCCUGAGCCUCCUUCCAUGUGCAUAGGCCUGCUGCAUGCUGGAGACCUGCGGCACAGCUGCCAAGUGCCCCGUGUGGUUCUGUGAUCUUGGGACAGUCACUUCCUCUCUGUGGUUGUCAGUCUUCUCAUCCCUAAGGGUUCUCUCUGCUCAGCCUGCCCAGAAGCCUCCUUGAGU
rnacentral:lncRNA from 10 species